GUGGAAAAACACACACAGCCUCUGACCGACCACAUUGACCACGGAGCAUGAACCAUCUGCAGCGCACACAUUGAAACAGUGUCAGUAAAAAGAAACAGCCACAGAAAGGACAGUGAAGCACACCACAGAAUAGCUGACAGCUUUGACUUGGCCGUGGUCGCAAGUUAACGUCUUUGAAAAAAUUAUGGGUGCACACACUGGGUCUCCUGACGGUAGAAGUGGACACGGAUCGAGUCAUCUCAGAUCUCUACAAGUGUCAAGGAGAUGCUGCGUGGUGAGCAGGUGUCUGAG